rnacentral:tRNA from 1 species
GGCACCGUGGCCGAGUGGUUAGGCAAAGGUCUGCAAAACCUUUCUACACCGGUUCGAAUCCGGUCGGUGCCUCCC